AGAAUGAACGCUGGCGGCGUGCUUUACACAUGCAAGUCGAGCGAGGCGGGUAGCAAUACCCAGUCGAGCGGCGAACGGGUGAGUAACGCGUGGAUACCUGCCCUGAGUGGGGAAUAACUUCGGGAAACCGAGGCUAAUACCGCAUAACACCUACGGGUCAAAGGAGCAAUUCGCUUAAGGAGGGGGUCGCGGCAGAUUAGUUAGUUGGCGGGGUAAUGGCCCACCAAGACGGUGAUCUGUA
rnacentral:rRNA from 1 species